CUCAAGUAGGCCCCAAGCAAGCAAGGAAGGAAGCAGGCAGCAGACCCUCUGCCCAGACCAGACCAUCCAGAACAGCUAUUGCUAGCCGGCUUUUUCAGAAGAUGCCAAUGAAUUUCAACACUUGAGUUUCAGAGAGCCUGGCUCAAUAGCUUGCUUUUCUUCCAUGGUGGAACUCAGGCUGACAUUCUUGGAGCUUCCAGGUGGUCACCCAUCCAAGUACUAAACAGAUCCAGACCCACUGAGCUUCAGUGACCUCAGAAAAUACCAUGGGAUCCUGCAAUGUAGGACAGGCUAGGUUAGGUGUGUGUGUGUGUGUGUGUGUGUGUGUGUGUGUAAGGUCAGACUUUCCCAAGCUUAUCAGAAAGUUGUGUGGCUGAAGGGCGAUUUUAACCCAGGUCUCUCUGGACCCACUUCAAUACUCUUAUCUAUUACACCACACUGGCUCACAGUGUUGAAAUACAGCAUAGAUGCUGUUACCUGGCACCAUUAAACAUGGUUUGGGAAGGGCGACAGGAUGGUUAAUGGAUAUGCCACUAUGUUGA